rnacentral:rRNA from 1 species
GCCAGCAGUUAUAUCUCUCUGCAGCUCUCAACUGGCUAUCCACUGAUGCUAAGCAGGAUUGAGCCUGGUCAGUACCUGGAUGAGAGACUGCUUGGGAAGCUAUGGCUGCUGCUGGAA